CUCUUGACAUCCAGCGAACUUGGCAGAGAUGCCUUGGUGCCUUCGGGAACGCCGAGACAGGUGCUGCAUGGCUGUCGUCAGCUCGUGUUGUGAAAUGUUGGGUUAAGUCCGCAACGAGCGCAACCCUUAUCCUUUGUUGCCAGCGAUUCGGUCGGGAACUCAAAGGAGACUGCCGGUGAUAAACCGGAGGAAGGUGGGGAUGACGUCAAGUCAUCAUGGCCCUUACGAGUAGGGCUACACACGUGCUACAAUGGCGCAUACAAAGAGAAGCGACCUCGCGAGAGCAAGCGGACCUCAUAAAGUGCGUCGUAGUCCGGAUCGGAGUCUGCAACUCGACUCCGUGAAGUCGGAAUCGCUAGUAAUCGUGGAUCGGAAUGCCACGGUGAAUACGUUCCCGGGCCUUGUACACACCGCCCGUCACACCAUGGGAGUGGGUUGCAAAAGAAGUAGGUAGCUUAACCUCCGGGAGGGCGCUUACCACUUUGUGAUUCAUGACUGGGGUGAAGUCGUAACAAGGUAAGCGUAGCGAG
rnacentral:rRNA from 1 species